rnacentral:rRNA from 1 species
CCUACGGGAGGCAGCAGUGGGGAAUAUUGGACAAUGGGCGAAAGCCUGAUCCAGCAAUGCCGCGUGAGUGAUGAAGGCCUUAGGGUUGUAAAGCUCUUUUACCAGGGAUGAUAAUGACAGUACCUGGAGAAUAAGCUCCGGCUAACUCCGUGCCAGCAGCCGCGGUAAUACGGAGGGAGCUAGCGUUGUUCGGAAUUACUGGGCGUAAAGCGUGCGUAGGCGGUGACUCAAGUCAGAGGUGAAAGCCUGGAGCUCAACUCCAGAACUGCCUUUGAAACUAGGUCGCUAGAAUCAUGGAGAGGUGAGUGGAAUUCCGAGUGUAGAGGUGAAAUUCGUAGAUAUUCGGAAGAACACCAGUGGCGAAGGCGGCUCACUGGACAUGUAUUGACGCUGAGGCACGAAAGCGUGGGGAGCAAACAGGAUUAGAUACCCUGGUAGUCCACGCCGUAAACGAUGAUAACUAGCUGCCAGGGCUCAUGGAGCUUUGGUGGCGCNGCGACGACGAUAAGUUAAGUACCGCCGUCGGGAGGUAACGGUCGCGAAGAAGUUAAACGUUAACGAAAGGAAAGUUAGACGGCGNGAGACGNGCCGACGGACGACGACGAGGGGAGGAGGAG